rnacentral:lncRNA from 1 species
AGUGACACUCCCAAACACCGCCCUGCUGCACCUCUCCAGUGCCCAGGUGGGGAAGCUCCGCGUCUCUCCCCACCGCCUCCUUCCCCCACAAUCCCGGGCUCAUUUACCCGCAACGCGGCCACCCGCGUCUUCUCUCUCCCCAGGACUUAGAGAGCAGAAAGUCUCCUCUGCCAGAGCAGGGAGACCCGGCCACGCCAGUGCACUGGCUUCCUCCCCUCCCCCGACCCUUUCGGUCCAGGAACCACAAAAUCCCUGGAGCCCUAACUAUUAUUUCAGACAUUUCCUAGGGAGCCAUAACCUAGACCAGGUUAACCUAUGGCCAGAACCUGAGGGAGUCCAUGGAAGACAUCAGUACAAAGAACCUUACAUCUAAAUGAGGAAGACUUCACCAAGUCUCUGAAAACUACUGAUCUGGAUCCUACAAUUGCAGAGCAUCAAACUAAAGAGAUUCUUAAGCUAGUACAAAAGGAGAGGCUGCUUAAGGAAAUGUCAUUCUCCCAGAGAGAACUGAAAUCCAUGUGGCUCCAGAACCAUUGCCAAUACAUGACUGUUGAAAGGGAAGGAAGUUCCUCAAAAUUCUGACAACAUUAUAUGACACAUGAAAACAUGCUCCAUAGCACUCACAAUAAAAGACAUGAAAAUAAUUUUGCCA